rnacentral:lncRNA from 1 species
CCAAACUUGAGUCUCUGGCAAGUGCUGGGCAGGACUUCCACUAGCUUUUGAGUGUGCGUAUACGAUUAGAAUUCAACCUCUUAGGCCUUUCCUCACACUGACAGCAAUUCUUCUGGGACAUUGUUGAGAACUUAGCCACCAGACUUGCUAGUAUGAAGACCUACAGUGGCCUCUGACUCUUUGACAUCAAUCACUCCUCUGCUUGUACACACAUAUCAUGAAUACCUCUUCUAAGAAACUCUUCCGUGCCCAGCAACCACAUCGCAGAGUUCUCCAGAACCACCUGCUCCAUCGACACCAAACUCCAUCUAGAGUCAUCAUCACUCUGCAAAAGUCAUCCUUGUCUACAAUGACUGAUUGAUUAAAACUUCAUAAUGUGGAC